rnacentral:sRNA from 1 species
CGACGAUGAUCUGUGGGCAAACCAGGUGGACGUGGCAGUCGACGGUGCCGGCGGUGACGAUUCGGCCGUUGCCGCCAAUGAUUUCGGUAGACGGUCCGACGACCAGAUCCCGAUGCACACCCGUCAUGAUGUCGGGAUUGCCGGCCUUUCCGAUUCCCACGAUGCGGCCAUCGCGAAUUCCGAUGUCGGCCUUGAUGAUUCCCCAGUAAUCGAUAAUCACCGCGCCGGUGAUCACGGUGUCGGGCGCGCCCUCGGCGCGGGUCGCCCGCCCCUGGCCCAUGGACUCACGCAG